AGAGUUUGAUCAUGGCUCAGAACGAACGCUGGCGGCAGGCCUCAAACAUGCAAGUCUAGGGGGUGUAGCAAUACAUCACCGGCGGACGGGUGCGUAACGCGUGGGAAUGUACCUACUGGUUCGGAACAACUGAGGGAAACUUCAGCUAAUACCGAAUAAGUCCUUACGGAGAAAGAUUUAUCGCCAGUAGAUCAGCCCGCGUUCGAUUAGCUAGUUGGUGGGGUAACGGCUCACCAAGGCGACGAUCGAUAGCUGUUCUGAGAGGAAGAUCAGCCACACUGGGACUGAGACACGGCCCAGACUCCUACGGGAGGCAGCAGUUGGGAAUCUUGGACAAUGGGGGAAACCCUGAUCCAGCCAUGCCGCGUGAGUGAUGAAGGCCUUCGGGUUGUAAAACUCUUUCGCGCACGACGAUAAUGACGGUAGUGCGAGAAGAAGCUCCGGCUAACUUCGUGCCAGCAGCCGCGGUAAUACGAAGGGGGCUAGCGUUGUUCGGAAUUACUGGGCGUAAAGCGCGCGCAGGCGGCUAUCCAAGUCAGUGGUGAAAGCCCGGAGCUUAACUCCGGAACUGCCAUUGAAACUGUUUAGCUCGAGGAUGAGAGAGGUGAGUGGAAUUCCCAGUGUAGAGGUGAAAUUCGUAGAUAUUGGGAAGAACACCGGUGGCGAAGGCGGCUCACUGGCUCAUUUCUGACGCUCAUGCGCGACAGCGUGGGGAUCAAACAGGAUUAGAUACCCUGGGUAGUCCACGCCGUAAACGAUGAAUGCUAGCCGUUGGAUAGCUUGCUAUUCAGUGGCGCAGCUAACGCAUUAAGCAUUCCGCCUGGGGAGUGCGGCCGCAAGGUUGAAACUCAAAGGAAUUGACGGGGCCCGCACAAGCGGUGGAGCAUGUGGUUUAAUUCGACGCAACGCGCAGAACCUUACCAGGGUUUGACAAUCCUGC
rnacentral:rRNA from 1 species